GAAACAGGUUCCACAAGGUUCGUCAGAACUGUAUUUUGAUACACAACUGCAUUCGUUUUUACAACUUUCUCACAAAAAUGUACCUCUGCUAAGCCCCAAUAAGAAACUCCCAACCAUACCAUGAGCGAGGAUGGAAAAUGACCUCGUUGGACACGCGGAAUACGGUUGCUCGCUUCUUCAUCCGCUUCUCCAUAUUUAAAAAUGAGUAAAAUUCUAAAAGUAUACAUUUUUAUUUUCAUGAACAAUUCGAAAUUCGAAUUCAAUAACUUUUUGGUGGCCAGCAUUCUAAAAGAAAAGUUUUUACUGUUUGACAAUACUUAUGACCUGGCUAGUUAUAAUAGUUAGACAUAUGCUGUCCUGACUUUUUGUAAAUAAUAAUGUGUUCUACAAAGUCGUAGUACAUUAUUUUAUUCUAUCAUCAAUCGUUUUUUAGGGGACUGAAUCUUCUCACGAGAACACCUCCCUCAGCGCAGGGUAUGUGCGACUACCGUAGCCACGCAAUAUACGAUUCUCCUGGACUCUGGCUCGUACUUCCGAUACCCGGGUUAAUAUGGAGAGAUUCCCAGGUGCAAGGCGAUCAGCACUGCAACCAUAAGCACGUCCACCCUAGCACGACUCGUCAUUAAACAAGGCAAUAAGUCGGCCAUCGCUCUGAAGCCCAGGCGAUGGAUACCAGCAUGCUGAAUCGGAAUAUGAUACACCAUCAACCGAUCGCUCUUCGUCGAUAUCAACAUGGCGGCGCGCAUAACUUGGGCCCUUCAUAUCGCUCCGAACCGUCACCAGGGAGGGAACCUACUGCAGUUGCAUUGUGAGAAUGAGACUGGCACUUUUUUGUUUGCAAAGAAAAAAAUAACACUUCAGUCAUAGGAAAAAGCAAAUCCUAAAAAUAUGUUCUCUCUGAUAUCAAUAGUGUACUUACAUAUUCUUCCAACACUUUUUUCUUUUCGAAAAAGACCUUUAGGAUCCUCGACCUUUAAAAUGUUUAAAGUUUCUAAGCUAUUUAUUAUGACUAAGAAUGAUGUCAAGAAACAUGUUAUUUUAUUUGAAUUGUUUACCGUUGUAUGGUAAUAGAUGAGCAAGUGACUCAAAUGGAUGAUCAGAAUCACUGCACUGUUAACACUUCAAUGUUGAUUAUGUGUAUAUGAUAUUGCUAUUAAGAGAGAAACUUUUUAGUAAUCCUUGGAUUCACCGUGCAUAUGAGGUUCAUAAUGUUGCAGAAAGAGGAAUUUAUAUGAAGAAUGCCAGCAAACCUGUCACCCUAGUGUAAGUUUAACAGGCCCCUAUCUUAUCCUUAUCUCCAUUUUCUACAUUCCUUUCUAUACCUAGCCCAAUUUAAUGAGAACCUACUAGUGCAAUAAAAUUUUACAUUUAUUAGUUCACUUGUAGAUGUACAUUCUUGACAAGACAAGGUUUUUAAUAUAAUAUAGAGAUAUUUCAGUGUAGUAUAGUACUUACAUACAUCAAUUUAUUAAAUGUACUACCAGGAAAACCAAAUCCAUUAAAUGUUAAAUUACAGAAACAA